rnacentral:rRNA from 1 species
CCCGGGUCUUGUACACACCGCCCGUCACACCAUGGGAGCGGGUUCUGCCAGAAGUAGUUAGCCUAACCGCAAGGAGGGCGAUUACCACGGCAGGGUUCGUAACUGGGGUG